rnacentral:lncRNA from 10 species
GCCGGCCGAGACUUCUGGAUGGCGGCGGCCGCGGCUCCGCCCCGGGUUCCCACCGCCUGAAGGGCGAGACAAGCCCGACCUGCUACAGGUGUGGAAACAGGAAGAGAACUAGAACUGGAAGUAAAGCAUUGAAGAUGUGACUGAAUUGCUGCAAUCUCAUGAUCAAAUUUGAAUGGAUGAGGAGUUGCUUUUUAGGGAUGAGCAAAGAAAGUGGUUUCUCGAGAUGGAAUCUACUGGUUGCUCCUUGAGGGCAGGACAGUUCUUAUGGCUUUAUCCGUUGCGUAAGCACAGAGAGGUCUGCGAGGUCAAAACUAUUGUCAUGAUAGCAAGAUGCCUGUCUUUUUCAUUUAUUCUCACGGUGUGCAGAGGCUACAUGAUGUGUGAUGACAUCCUCAUUGAUGUUAAUGAAUGGUGCUAUACUUGAAUUUUCUAAGGUGUCAUUAGGUAGGUUUAGGUAUGCAUACUUGUUUUUAGAAAUUAUUUUUUUCCUUUUUCCCAUUUUUAGAAAUCAACUCAUUUUUUAGGUUAUGCCUUCAGUAAUCUUUGCAACCUCAAUAUUGUGUAAUGGUUACUUUAAAAUACUGUAGUUUUCUUUG